AACGUAGGAGACAAACGUUAUCCGGAGUUACUGGGCGUAAAGGGCGUGCAGGUGGUCUGUUAAGUCUGGCGUGAAAGCUCCUGGCUAAACCGGGAGAGGUCGUUGGAUACUGGCGGACUAGAGGACGGUAGAGGCGUGUGGAAUUCCGGGUGUAGUGGUGAAAUGCGUAGAUAUACGGAGGAACACCAGAGGCGAAGGCGGAUCGCUGGGCCAACACUGACGCUGAGACGCGAAAGCUAGGGUAGCAAACGGG
rnacentral:rRNA from 1 species